rnacentral:lncRNA from 1 species
CCGAACAUAUCGAUAGCAGGAGUACUCGGUUGCAACGGGAGAAAGAGGGACAACGGCCAGCGACAGUCGCCGCCAGAGUAUCGUAAUAUAAUACAUAAUACUACCAUUGGAUAAAGUUUGAGCUCAAUAUUUCACAAGGGAGACGCGCCAUUGCAAGAAGGCAAGGUAAAGCGCAGGAAGCGAUAGGCGGCGACCAACUCAACCAAUACUACCAUACACAAGGGGGUAAAGACAAUCUGGAGCAAGGAAGGGCUGAGAAAGAGAUUGUCGAUACGUGCUGUAGAACUUGGACAAGAAGCAUCUCGUGGACCGGUGGUGCAGGCAGCGAAGACGCAGAGACAAGACAUUGGAUCUGGUUGCGUCAUCGGUGGAUGUGUGCAGGAACGUAUAGGCCAAGGGCUGGUGCACGAAUUUUGGCAGACCAGGUGCUAAUAGGUGCUCCUCAUUCAAGGAACACCUGUUUGUCAGUCGUUUGCCAAACGUUGCCGAAAGAGGUUGUGUAGCUCACGAUUUUUUCAUUGUCUUCUUAUUUUACUUCAUUGUUUACGAAGACAAUGAAAUAUGCAUGCAACUACUAUUCUAUUUUGGAUGUGUAAUGAAAUGUGUAUGUAAUAGAAUCUAUAUUCAGUUAAAUCUUUUGUUUUUGUAAAAUGGAGAGAAGCGAGAUCUUGGCAUUGCGAGUUUGAGAGUUGCGUUGGAAGUUGUAUGAGUUGCAAUUGAGUACGACUGGAUUAAAGGUGGAAUUGCAACAGAGAUUAUUGUCACAUUACGAAGUAUAUAUCGAGGGUGAGUCAGAGACGGAGGAUAAUGGUGAGAAGACAUUAUAUUGGUGUCAUCCGUGUCAACUACAAUCAAUCGACAAAACAGAGCAGGCUGGCAUCAAGGGCUAGGAGUUGAGAGACCAGGUAGAUCGUGGUUCACCCUUAAAGAUGUCGAGGGCAGCGUAAGUCAGUUCUCAGGAUCGAAGUCCCCGGAUAUCGAUCAAUGGAUAGGAGAGUUGGAAGAUUGUGCAGCUACAGUUGAGUUCGAAGUCGAGAUUAUUUUCUAUAGC